GAGGGUUUCUCUCUUGUCUUGCGCCGCGGCUAGCUACCUCUCGACGCCGCGCGAUCCUGUUGAUUCCCCGGUUUCCUCCGCGAUUCGAGAUGGGGGAUGGGGCAGAGACUGGCGGCGGUGAUGGCGCGACCACGGCGGCGAGGGCGGGGGCGCCGCGGAGGGAUAUACGUCGGUACAAAUGCGAGUUCUGCGGCGUGGUUCGGUCCAAGAAGAGUUUGAUCCGCGCCCAUGUCCUCCAGAGCCACAAGGAUGAAGUGGAUGGUCUGGAGGAUUACCAGGAAGGAGGAAAAUGUGCUUCGCGCAAGGAGGUCAGCCAUGACUGCAAAGAGUGUGGCAUGAGGUUCAAGAAGCCGGCCCAUCUGAAGCAGCACAUGCAGAGCCAUUCACUCGAGUCUAUUUGUUCAGACAUGGAUGUGUGAAGCAUUGGAUCCCAAAGAACUCCAAAAUGCGAGAUGGGCUUGAAUGGACUAGUAUCGGGAUGGGGAGACCCUCCUGAGAAGCUCCAUCAAGAGUGCCUCUUUCACGCUAUUCUUCAGACUACCAAGUGAGAUAUAAAAGCGUGAAGCAUUGGAUCCCAAAGAACUCCAAAAUGCGAUAAGGUCUUGAAUGGACUAGUAUCAGGAUCGGGAGACUGUUCUGAGAAGCUCCAUCAAGAGUGCCUUAUUCACACGCUUCUUCAGAGACCCUUUGUUUGCCAUGUAGAUGGUUGUCCCUUAAGUUAUAGCAGAAAGGACCAUUUGAACAGACAUCUACUUACUCAUCAAGGGAAACUAUUUGUGUGCCCCAUCGAAGGAUGCGACUGUAAGUUCAAUAUCAAGGGUAAUAUGCAGAGACAUGUCCAGGAAAUCCAUAAAGAUGGUUCUCCUUGUGAAAGCAAGAAGGAAUUCAUUUGUCCGGAGGUUAACUGUGGGAAGACUUUCAAAUAUGCUUCCAAGUUAAAAAAGCACGAAGAAUCACAUGUCAAACUGGACUGCACAGAGGUUAUCUGCUGUGAACCAGGCUGCAUGAAAACUUUUACAAAUGUGGAAUGCCUCAAAGCACAUAACCAAUCCUGCCAUCAACAUGUUCAGUGUGAUGUCUGUGGUACUAAACAACUAAAGAGGAAUUUUAAGCGUCAUCGCCAAAUGCAUGAAGGCUCCUGCAUUACUGAAAGGGUCAAAUGCCGCUUUGAUGACUGCAAAUGUUCAUUUUCAAAGAAAUCCAAUUUGGAGAAGCAUGUUAAGGCGGUCCAUGAGCAGCGCCGACCUUUCGUUUGCCAAUUCUCUGGGUGUGGCAAGAAGUUUUCUUACAAGCAUGUAAGGGACAUCCAUGAGAAGUCUAGUGCUCAUGUGCACACUGAGGGUGAUUUUGUUGAGGCGGAUGAACAGCGACUGCGUUCAGCAGGGGGGCGAAAGAGAAAGCCCGUAUCUGUCGAGACUUUCAUGCGGAAGAGGGUAGCUGCUCCUGAUGAUGCACCUGCUCAUGUUGAUGGAACUGAGUAUCUGAGAUGGCUUCUCUCCGGUUGAUCCGUCCAGGACCCGAAGGGAGAAGAGACGCAAUCACGCAAGAUAUUUUGGGCAUUCAAUUGAAAUAUCUGUAAUUUACUUUGCAUGUAUAGGCAGAGGAAAGCAACAUGUUAGAUAUUUAUAUAGGAUUCAGACAUGGUAGGGAUUAUUAGAUCCUCAAUAUAAAUACAAUAUGCCAUACUAGAAUUUGAGGCGCAAGAGUAGCAGAUCGUUAUCAUUUUAUCAUGUAUGUUUAAAUGCUUCAACCUUCAGCACAGCUUGGAAACAUGUUCGAUGCAAAUUCCUGUGA